AGCAACAUGGCGCAGCGGAAGCGCGCCGGGCUCAUAACCCGGAGGUCAAGUGAUCGAAACACUUUGUUGCUA
rfam:Exophiala mesophila strain CBS 40295 unplaced genomic scaffold supercont1.6, whole genome shotgun sequence.